rnacentral:misc_RNA from 1 species
GGAGUAAAAGUCGUAACAAGGUUUCCGUAGGUGAACCUGCGGAAGGAUCAUUCAUAAUAAAGUGUUUUAUGGCACUUUUUAAAAAUCCAUAUCCACCUUGUGUGCAAUGUUAGAUCUCGUCAAUCUUGGCGAGAUUUUUAUACAUCAACUCAUUCUUUAACUAAUUUGUUUGAAAAAUAUUAUGAACACUUAAUUCAAAAUACAACUUUCAACAACGGAUCUCUUGGCUCUC